rnacentral:rRNA from 1 species
AUGAACGCUAGCUACAGGCUUUAACACAUGCAAGUCGCGGGGCAGCAUUUCUUAGCUUGCUAAGGAAGAUGGCGACCGGCGCACGGGUGAGUAACGCGGUAUCCAACCUGCCCAUAUCCCGGGCAUAACCUUGCGAAAGCAAGCCUAAUUCCCGAUGUGUCCCUGUGACGGCAUCAGAUCAGGAUGAAAGAUUUUUCGGAUAUGGAUGGGGAUGCGUCCGAUUAGCUUGUUGGCGGGGUAACGGCCCACCAAGGCAACGAUCAGUAGGGGUUCUGAGAGGAAGGUCCCCCACAUUGGAACUGAGACACGGUCCAAAACUCCUACGGGAGGCAGCAGUGAGGAAUAUUGGUCAAUGGGCGAGAGCCUGAACCAGCCAAGUAGCGUGCAGGAUGACGGCCCUAUGGGUUGUAAACUGCUUUUAUAAGGGAAUAAAGUGGGUCUCGUGAGACUUUUUGCAUGUACCUUAUGAAUAAGGACCGGCUAAUUCCGUG